rnacentral:rRNA from 1 species
GAUGAACGCUGGCGGCGUGCCUAAUACAUGCCAGUCGAGCGAACAGAUGAGGAGCUUGCUCCUCUGACGUUAGCGGCGGACGGGUGAGUAACACGUGGAUAACCUACCUAUAAGACUGGGAUAACUUCGGGAAACCGGAGCUAAUACCGGAUAAUAUAUUGAACCGCAUGGUUCAAUAGUGAAAGACGGUUUUGCUGUCACUUAUAGAUGGAUCCGCGCCGCAUUAGCUAGUUGGUAGGGUAACGGCUUACCAAGGCAACGAUGCGUAGCCGACCUGAGAGGGUGAUCGGCCACACUGGAACUGAGACACGGUCCAGACUCCUACGGGAGGCAGCAGUAGGGAAUCUUCCGCAAUGGGCGAAAGCCUGACGGAGCAACGCCGCGUGAGUGAUGAAGGUCUUCGGAUCGUAAAACUCUGUUAUUAGGGAAGAACAAAUGUGUAAGUAACUAUGCACGUCUUGACGGUACCUAAUCAGAAAGCCACGGCUAACUACGUG